AAGAACGGACCUCCGGAAUGAAUUAAGUUCUUAACCCGAGGUACCACUGUAUUUGAAAUGGGAACUGUAGUUGCUCCCAAGACUUCCAGAUACAGUGGUACCUCGGGUUAAGUACUUAAUUCAUCCCGGAG
rnacentral:miRNA from 1 species